UAGUGUUGUUAUAACCAGUUUCUACCAGUUGUAGUGUUGUUAUAACCAGUCUCUACCAGUGGUAGUGUUGUUAUAACCAGUCUCUACCAGUGGUAGUGUUAUAACCAGUCUCUACCAGUGGUAGUGUUAUAACUAGUCUCUACCAGUGGUAGUUUUAUAACCAGUCUCUACCAGUGGUAGUGUUAUAACCAGUCUCUACCAGUGGUAGUGUUAUAACCAGUCUCUACCAGUGAUAGUGUUAUAACCAGUCUCUACCAGUGGUAGUGUUAUAACCAGUCUCUACCAGUGGUAGUGUUAUAACUAGUCUCUACCAGUGGUAGUUUUAUAACCAGUCUCUACCAGUGGUAGUGUUAUAACCAGUCUCUACCAGUGGUAGUGUUAUACCCAGUCUCUACCAGUGAUAGUGUUAUACCCAGUCUCUACCAGUGGUAGUGUUGUUAUAACCAGUCUCUCCCAGUGAUAGUUCAGCUGAACUGCAGUCUAAAUGUAGCUAUCUGACCUUUCCGUCCUGCUACUCCAGAAACAGCAACACCUGUUUACUUACAUUAUGCUGUAGUUGUUCAGACUUCUCUUGAUUAUUGUGGAUCCAGUGAAGAGAGAACAGAAGGUUUGUUUAUUUUGUUUAUUUUAUUUAACGAGGCAAGUCAGUUAAGAACAAACUCUUAUUUCCGAUGACGGCCUAGGAACAGUGGGUUAACUGGCCUAGGAACAGUGGGUUAACUGGCCUAGGAACAGUGGGUUAACUGGCCUAGGAACAGUGGGUUAACUGGUCUAGGAACAGUGGGUUAACUGGUCUAGGAACAGUGGGUUAACUGGC
ensembl:lncRNA